GUACCCCACUAUGCUCAGCCGUAAACUUUAACUUACAUUAAAAUCGCCCAGGAACUAUAAGCUAUGCUUUAAACCUAAAGGACUUGACGGCACCCCACAUCCCCCUAGAGGAGCCUGUCCUGUAAUCGAUACCCCUCGUUAAACCUCACCCCCCCUAGCUCUUCAGCCUGUAUACCUCCGUCGUCAGCCCACCACGUGAGCGCCACUCAGUGAGCUUCCCUGCUCAAUUCGCAAAAACGUCAGGUCAAGGUGCAGCAAAUGGAGGGGGAAGAGAUGGGCUACAUUCUCUAAUAUAGAGUACACGGAUAACUGCGUAUGAAAUCCAGUUUGAAGGUGGAUUUAGAAGUAAAGAGAAAUCAAAGUGUUCUCUUUAACCCGGCACUGAGGUGCGUACACACCGCCCGUCACUCUCCUCGAAGCAACUAUAAUAGUAUUUAACAACAGACGCAUAAAGAGAGGAGAUAAGUCGUAACU
rnacentral:rRNA from 1 species